GACGAACGCUGGCGGCGUGCUUAACACAUGCAAGUCGAACGGUGAAGCUCCAGCUUGCUGGAGUGGAUCAGUGGCGAACGGGUGAGUAACACGUGAGCAACCUGCCCCAGACUCUGGAAUAAGCGCUGGAAACGGCGUCUAAUACUGGAUACGAGAUCAAGCCGCAUGGUUAUGGUCUGGAAAGUUUUUCGGUUUGGGAUGGGCUCGCGGCCUAUCAGCUUGUUGGUGAGAUAAUGGCUCACCAAGGCGACGACGGGUAGCCGGCCUGAGAGGGCGACCGGCCACACUGGGACUGAGACACGGCCCAGACUCCUACGGGAGGCAGCAGUGGGGAAUAUUGCACAAUGGGCGAAAGCCUGAUGCAGCGACGCCGCGUGAGGGAUGACGGCCUUCGGGUUGUAAACCUCUUUCAGCAGGGAAGAAGCGAAAGUGACGGUACCUGCAGAAGAAGCACCGGCUAACUACGUG
rnacentral:rRNA from 1 species